CUUCGCCUAUACAAGAAUAACUGCGGUGUACUCUCGGGUGCGAUCAUACCAGCACUAA
rnacentral:rRNA from 1 species